rnacentral:misc_RNA from 1 species
GAUUAUUACAAUGCAGAAGUGUGAAAUGAAGAAGUUAAGCACCACAACUGAUAGUAAAGAAAGAAACAAGUUAGCAACAUUUGAUACAGCGGCUGAUGGGGUGGCUGCGGCAGGCCCAUCGGCAACACCUGAAGGAUUGCUGGCUGACAUUUUGACCACCGCCGGGAGCGGUGGAUCAAUGACAUUAUCAGCAUCCAAUGGCG